ACGCUAGCGAUAGGCUUAACACAUGCAAGUCGAGGGGCAGCGAGGUGUAGCAAUACGUCGUCGGCGGCCGGCGAAUGGGUGAGUAACACGUAUGCAACUUACCUCUUAGUGGUGAAUAACUCGAUGAAAGUCGGACUAAUACACCAUACUCUCCUUAGAUCACAUGAGAAGAGGAGGAAAGAUUAAUCGCUAAGAGAUAGGCCUGCGUUCCAUUAGCUAGUUGGUAAGGUAACGGCUUACCAAGGCAACGAUGGAUAGGGGGACUGAGAGGUUGACCCCCCACAUUGACACUGAGAUACGGGUCAAACUCCUACGAGAGGCAGCAGUGAGGAAUAUUGGUCAAUGGGCGAGAGCCUGAACCAGCCAAGUCGCGUGAAGGAAGACUGCCCGCAAGGGUUGUAAACUUCUUUUGUAUGGGAUUAAAGUCGUCUACGUGUAGGCGUUUGCAGUUACCAUACGAAUAAGCAUCGGCUAACUCCGUGCCAGCAGCCGCGGUAAUACGGAGGAUGCGAGCGUUAUCCGGAAUUAUUGGGUUUAAAGGGUGCGUAGGUUGCAAGGGAAGUCAGGGGUGAAAAGCUAUAGCUCAACUAUGGUCUUGCCUUUGAAACUCUCUAGCUAGAGUGUACUGGGGGUACGUGGAACGUGUGGUGUAGCGGUGAAAUGCAUAGAUAUCACACAGAACUCCGAUUGCGCAGGCAGCGUACUACAUUACAACUGACACUGAAGCACGAAAGCGUGGGUAUCCAACAGGAUUAGAUACCCUGGUAGUCCACGCAGUAAACGAUGAAUACUAGAUCUAUGCGAUAUCACUGUAUGGGUCUAAGCGAAAGCGAUAAGUAUUCCACCUGGGGAGUACGCCCGGCAACGGUGAAACUCAAAGAGAUUGGCGGGGGUCCGCACAA
rnacentral:rRNA from 1 species